AACCAUUCUCACCUGCGGCUAGACCUGCGGAAGGAUCAUUACCGAGUGUGAACCCCCCCGUAAAAAAGAGGGGUUACCUCCCGUCCUUUGCUGGGAACCCCUUUCCAACUUGGAAGGAGGUUGUUUUCAGACCCUUCUGCUUCGGUGGGGUAACCCACCGGAACAACCUCAAAAAUAUUCUCAAUUCAAAACCGUUCAGUCCGAGAACUUUUUUGAAAAGCGAAAAAACUUUCAACAAUG
rnacentral:misc_RNA from 1 species